AUUGAACGCUGGCGGCAGGCCUAACACAUGCAAGUCGAACGGUAACAGGAAACAGCUUGCUGUUUCGCUGACGAGUGGCGGACGGGUGAGUAAUGUCUGGGAAACUGCCUGAUGGAGGGGGAUAACUACUGGAAACGGUAGCUAAUACCGCAUAACGUCGCAAGACCAAAGAGGGGGACCUUCGGGCCUCUUGCCAUCGGAUGUGCCCAGAUGGGAUUAGCUAGUAGGUGGGGUAACGGCUCACCUAGGCGACGAUCCCUAGCUGGUCUGAGAGGAUGACCCGCCACACUGGAACUGAGACACGGUCCAGACUCCUACGGGAGGCAGCAGUGGGGAAUAUUGCACAAUGGGCGCAAGCCUGAUGCAGCCAUGCCGCGUGUAUGAAGAAGGCCUUCGGGUUGUAAAGUACUUUCAGCGGGGAUGAAGGGAGUAAAGUUAAUACCUUGGCUCAUUGACGUUACCCGCAGAAGAAGCACCGGCUAACUCCGUG
rnacentral:rRNA from 1 species